rnacentral:rRNA from 1 species
UACGGGGGGGGCAAGCGUUGUUCGGAAUUACUGGGCGUAAAGCGCACGUAGGCGGCUUUGUAAGUUAGAGGUGAAAGCCCGGGGCUCAACUCCGGAAUUGCCUUUAAGACUGCAUCGCUAGAAUUGUGGAGAGGUAAGUGGAAUUCCGAGUGUAGAGGUGAAAUUCGUAGAUAUUCGGAAGAACACCAGUGGCGAAGGCGACUUACUGGACACAUAUUGACGCUGAGGAGCGAAAGCCAGGGGAGCAAACGGG